UACAGAGGUCCCAAGCGUUGUUCGGAUUCAUUGGGCGUAAAGGGUGUGUAAGUGGCGCCGUAAGUCGGGUGUGAAAUCUCGGGGCUUAACUCCGAAACUGCAUUCGAUACUGCGGUGCUUGAGGACUGGAGAGGAGACUGGAAUUCAUGGUGUAGCAGUGAAAUGCGUAGAGAUCAUGAGGAAGACCAGUGGCGAAGGCGGGUCUCUGGGCAGUAACUGACGCUGAGGAGCGAAAGCGUGGGGAGCGAACAGG
rnacentral:rRNA from 1 species